rnacentral:rRNA from 1 species
AGAGUUUGAUCAUGGCUCAGGAUGAACGCUAGCGGCAGGCUUAAUACAUGCAAGUCGAGGGGCAUCAUGGUGUAGCAAUACACUGAUGGCGACCGGCAAACGGGUGCGGAACGCGUACAGAACUUUCCUUUAGGCGGGGGAUAACCCAGAGAAAUUUGGACUAAUACCCCAUAAUAUAUUAGCGAGGCAUCUUAAUGAUA